rnacentral:lncRNA from 1 species
UGCAGCGCCACAGUCCCCGGCCCUCGCCCAGGUUCACUGCAACCGUUCAGAGGUCCCCAGGAGCUGCUGCUGGCGAGCCCGCUACUGCAGGGACCUAUGUUGCAGGACGCGCCUUCUCCACGAGCUAUUUUCGUCGACUUGCGGAACCCAAGGAACCUCGCCUCUAUCAUUUCACGGUGUAGGGUCCCUAGAGACGACAGCCAAGAUCCCAGGGGCUCCCAGGACGCUUGUUCCUGCGGUGUCGUGUCCUAUGGGGAGUUCCUGGCGGGACGAAAGGCGGACGCGCGGCUCUUCCUGGCCCUCCAGGCCCGGAACCGACGGGAAAGGUUCCCGUGAUUCCCGAGUCCCUGCAGGCUUCUUCCAGCGGGAGUUGGUCCGGGGGCCUUAGAGGCCUCCAAGCACUGCUUUGGAGGAUGGUUUCCAAGGAUCGCGGUUUGUGAGUUGAAGGCUUUGUGAGAGGUUAAACCCCCAAAAGAUACAUACUUGGUAAACUGAGGCUACCUGUAAACACAUUUCGGCAUUAGGAGAAGAUUCGAGUAGGGAAGUGAAGGACAACCACCCCGAGUUACAUUCCUUUCCCCCAAUAAAAAGCUCUGGGGAUGAAA